AUACGGAGGGUGCGAGCGUUAUCCGGAUUUAUUAGGUUUAAAGGGUGUGUAGGCGGGAGCCUAAGUCAGUGGUGAAAUCUCACAGCUUAACUGUGAAACUGCCAUUGAAACUGGGUUUCUUGAGUAUAGUUGAGGUAGGCGGAAUGUGUAAUGUAGCGGUGAAAUGCAUAGAUAUUACACAGAACACCGAUUGCGAAGGCAGCUUACUAAGCUAUUACUGACGCUGAUGCACGAAAGCGUGGGUAGCGAACAGAAUUAGAAACCCCGGUAGUCC
rnacentral:rRNA from 1 species